AGCUGCUGGCCACUGCACAAGAUUAGAUUAUGACUCUUGUGCGUGUGACAGCGGCUAU
rnacentral:pre_miRNA from 1 species